CACGGGGAGCAAAUGAGGGGUUCAAAUUUUCUUUGAUGAAUGAGGGGUUGGGAUUUCAACAAGUUAUUCAGUAUCAAGGUUUUCAAACAAAUCAACCAGGUAUCAGUUCUCAUCAAAUAGGCAAUAUAUAUACUUGAAUGUGUAGAUACAGGAGGAUCAAGUCCAAAGAGCUCAGAGUCAUGCAGAUAAGUAGAAGUGCAGAAGUUUACAACGUGGAGAGUUAAACAUGCUCUGAGUUGUCGAAACUGAAAAGCUUGUUCAAAAUCAAAUGGAGAGUCCUCAUUUUGUUUG